UAUUGGUCAAUGGGCGCAAGCCUGAACCAGCCAUGCCGCGUGCAGGAAGACGGCCCUACGGGUUGUAAACUGCUUUUGUCAGGGAACAAACCCCCCGAUGCGUCGGGGGCUGAGUGUACCUGAAGAAUAAGGAUCGGCUAACUCCGUGCCAGCAGCCGCGGUAAUACGGAGGAUCCGAGCGUUAUCCGGAUUUAUUGGGUUUAAAGGGUGCGUAGGCGACAUGCUAAGUCAGUGGUGAAAGACGGUGGCUCAACCAUCGCAGUGCCGUUGAUACUGGCGUGCUUGAAUGCGGAUGAGGUAGGCGGAAUGUGGCAAGUAGCGGUGAAAUGCAUAGAUAUGCCACAGAACACCGAUUGCGAAGGCAGCUUACCAAGGCGCGAUUGACGCUGAUGCACGAAAGCGUGGGGAUCGAACAGG
rnacentral:rRNA from 1 species